UGCCCACCUGCCGGGGGCCCACGCGGGGCCUGGGGGCGCAGCCCUGCAGGUGCACCUGCCGCGCAGCCACGGCGAGGGACGGCGGGUCCGAGAGCACGUGCGCCAGUUCCACGGGCCACCGCGCCUCCAAGGCCGGCAUCUCGCGCUGGGCUGCCACCAGCAACAGAAGCGACCUUAAACUUGCGAGCCGCUUAGCCUGACUUUACAAAUGGCCUGGGAAGGAGUACUUCUUAACCGUCAUACCGCCCAACCUUCCUGAGAGUCACAUAUCAGUGCCUCGUGUGGUGGCCGCCAGGUAGAUCGAAGGCAGUCCAUGUUUCUGAUCCAAAUCACUGCCCCAGAGCCCAUUCCUUGCAAAGAAGGGGAAGAGCUAAACCCACAAUUCAACCUCUCAUCUAAGAAUAUUGAAGCAAUUUGAAAAUGUUAACUAUUUAGAUUGAGUUGAAAUCAGAUGCUGCCGUGGACUCAUGACACGACGUGACAAGCACAAACAUAUCACAUGGCAAGAAUCUGGGAACUGAGAAUAGUUCGUGUAAAGAAAAGACCUAAUUUCACCAAAGAGUAUAAAGCUAUAAGAUCCUGUUCUUGUAAUUCCUUUCAGUGUAAAGAUAGCAAGUAUGAAAAGCAUCACUUACUCAAAAAUACAGUUUUAAAGAAGAUGGAGACCUUCUAAAGAGUCUUCUUUUCAAUCCUAAAAUGCAUUUACUUGAGUUGUUUUCUAAUUUGUUUUCUAAUUUUAAAUCAGUUUCGCUUUUAUUCUUUUGAUUUGGAAGCAGCUGAGUGUACAUAAUAUAUUAUGAAGCAUUUCAAAAUAUCCUUGCAAGAUUUUUCUAUUUAGCAAAUGGAUUUGUCGAUACAUUAAAGGUAUUUAUUACAUGCUCUGUGGUGUUAAAUGGGGUGAUGUGAGUCUUCUGCUCCAGACCAGUAGAAAAUCCUUAAUUGAAGGAAUCCUUCAUUUUUAUUACUCCAGUUUACUCUGCGAAUGCUUCCUUGUUUUCGUAGACUUUAAGAUACCAACCCUACUUCCAGCACAGCACACCUGUCCACUAUCCUGUACCAGAGGUUUCUGGGAAAACAAAAGCAAAUUGUUUGCUAGAGUUUAAUUGGAAAUCUGUUGGAAUUGGUACAGGAAGUAUCCAAAAAUAGAUUUCACCUUAAUGUAUAUCAGAUAAGCAGUUUCUCUGUGCUGUUUUAGGAAAAGGAAAUCUACUUAAUCUAUUUUUACUUGCAUGUAGUUUUAUGCUAUCUAUUUAUGUAAUCUGGUGAUGUAAUACCUCAUUAGAGAUUUAUCCAAGACUAAACAUCUCUCUACACAGUCAGCAAAUCUGGGGGAAAGAAAGAGCAAGUAGAAAUUCUUGACAAAUUACAGGAAGCAUUACUAGCACGUCGUCGUUCACCUCAAGUUAUCCAUGCGCACGCACAUGCACACGCACACGCACACCUCAACUUCUACCCACACUUGGUCUAUCACAGCUGCCUGUUAAUAGCAUAGACCCUAAGCCAAAUUGUGAAAUAAUCUGUUGUUGGCAUUCUCAUUUUCCCCAUUCUGUUCCUUUUUUUUGUUUGUUUGUUUUUUUCCUUCUGGCAUCAAUACAUCUAUCACCUCAGACCCUCCCCAGCUACAGGUCUCCAAUAAAACUCUAAUAAAACUUAGAAAUUAUCUAAUGUCAGUUAACCGAAUGGCUCAUUAGUGGAUUACACUCUAAUACAAUAGCUUUACUAUAAUGGGGUAACUUCAUUUUGGUAUUAUUUCAGCCAAAGAAUAUCUUCACACCCUAUUCCCCACUCUCCUUUCUCCCUGAAUAUGUUUCAAUGCCUUCUAUAUUAUUUCAAUCACAGCAUUUUUGAUAACAAAGUGUGAUGUUGAAAUGUAGCUUUUUCAUUAAUGGGGAUAUGACUGUAUAACACUGGGAAAGGAAUGCUUUACUUAAGUAAAGGACAAUGCUGAUAGAUGAAAAAUA